CCAAUAGCGUAUAUUAAAGUUGUUGCAGUUAAAAAGCUCGUAGUUGAAUUUCGGGAUUGACUCGAUGGUCGUGCCUUAAGGGGUAUGAACUGUCGCUGUUGAUUUCUCACCUUCUGGAGAAGCUCGAUGUCCUUAAUUGGAUGUCUUGUGGAACCAGGACCUUUACCUUGAAAAAAUUAGAGUGUUUAAAGCAGGCAUUUUGCUCGAAUACAUUAGCAUGGAAUAAUAGAAUAGGACGGCAUGGUUCUAUUUUGUUGGUUUCUAGGAUCACCGUAAUGAUUAAUAGGGAUAGUUGGGGGCAUUAGUAUUCAAUUGUCAGAGGUGAAAUUCUUGGAUUUAUUGAAGACUAACUACUGCGAAAGCAUUUGCCAAGGAUGUUUUCAUUAAUCAAGAACGAAAGUUAGGGGAUCGAAGACGAUCAGAUACCGUCGUAGUCUUAACCAUAAACUAUGCCGACUAGGAAUCAGACGAUGUUAAUUUUUUAAUGACUCGUUUGGCACCUUACG
rnacentral:rRNA from 1 species